GUUCCUGUCCAACGUUAAUCGGGGCAGGGUGAGUCGACCCCUAAGGCGAGGCCGAAAGGCGUAGUCGAUGGGAAACAGGUUAAUAUUCCUGUACUUGGUGUUACUGCGAAGGGGGGACGGAGAAGGCUAUGUUGGCCGGGCGACGGUUGUCCCGGUUUAAGCGUGUAGGCUGGUUUUCCAGGCAAAUCCGGAAAAUCAAGGCUGAGGCGUGACGACGAGGCACUACGGUGCUGAAGCAACAAAUGCCCUGCUUCCAGGAAAAGCCUCUAAGCAUCAGGUAACAUCAAAUCGUACCCCAAACCGACACAGGUGGUCAGGUAGAGAAUACCAAGGCGCUUGAGAGAACUCGGGUGAAGGAACUAGGCAAAAUGGUGCCGUAACUUCGGGAGAAGGCACGCUGACACGUAGGUGAAGUGAUUUACUCAUGGAGCUGAAGUCAGUCGAAGAUACCAGCUGGCUGCAACUGUUUAUUAAAAACACAGCACUGUGCAAACACGAAAGUGGACGUAUACGGUGUGACGCCUGCCCGGUGCCGGAAGGUUAAUUGAUGGGGUCAGCGCAAGCGAAGCUCCUGAUCGAAGCCCCGGUAAACGGCGGCCGUAACUAUAACGGUCCUAAGGUAGCGAAAUUCCUUGUCGGGUAAGUUCCGACCUGCACGAAUGGCGUAAUGAUGGCCAGGCUGUCUCCACCCGAGACUCAGUGAAAUUGAACUCGCUGUGAAGAUGCAGUGUACCCGCGGCAAGACGGAAAGACCCCGUGAACCUUUACUAUAGCUUGACACUGAACAUUGAGCCUUGAUGUGUAGGAUAGGUGGGAGGCUUUGAAGCGUGGACGCCAGUCUGCGUGGAGCCGACCUUGAAAUACCACCCUUUAAUGUUUGAUGUUCUAACGUGGACCCGUAAUCCGGGUUGCGGACAGUGUCUGGUGGGUAGUUUGACUGGGGCGGUCUCCUCCUAAAGAGUAACGGAGGAGCACGAAGGUUGGCUAAUCCUGGUCGGACAUCAGGAGGUUAGUGCAAUGGCAUAAGCCAGCUUGACUGCGAGCGUGACGGCGCGAGCAGGUGCGAAAGCAGGUCAUAGUGAUCCGGUGGUUCUGAAUGGAAGGGCCAUCGCUCAACGGAUAAAAGGUACUCCGGGGAUAACAGGCUGAUACCGCCCAAGAGUUCAUAUCGACGGCGGUGUUUGGCACCUCGAUGUCGGCUCAUCACAUCCUGGGGCUGAAGUAGGUCCCAAGGGUAUGGCUGUUCGCCAUUUAAAGUGGUACGCGAGCUGGGUUUAGAACGUCGUGAGACAGUUCGGUCCCUAUCUGCCGUGGGCGCUGGAGAACUGAGGGGGGCUGCUCCUAGUACGAGAGGACCGGAGUGGACGCAUCACUGGUGUUCGGGUUGUCAUGCCAAUGGCACUGCCCGGUAGCUAAAUGCGGAAGAGAUAAGUGCUGAAAGCAUCUAAGCACGAAACUUGCCCCGA
rnacentral:rRNA from 1 species